CGGAAGUAGGGGAAGUCUCCUAGCAACAGAGCGGAAGUGCUUGAUGGAAGUGUGGUGCUGUGUUUGUUCCAGCUUCAGACUGUGGAUGCCUGCCACAUUUUACUGCACUUUUGGCAGGUGACUACAAUGCAGAAGUUCACCAUGCAGCUUCCUGGACAACUACAGUGGAUAAAGCUUCUAAGUUUGAUUAUUCUGAUUAUUUCAAGAGACUGCAGCUUCUAUGCCUGGAAAAGUUGAACUGCGCUGGGAAAGUUGCUGUAAUGGAGCCUUGGAUUCUGUCUGCCUGAAAGAAAGAUCACCUUGGGACAUCAAUGAAAGAUUGUUACCAUGAAAACUUUCCAAGCUAAUGUAUUAUGCAAGAAAUACAUUCCAAAGAUAGUUCAAUUGCUUUUGGGAAUGAUUUAAGUGAAAUUGUACUACUAGGGUGCAUCAUUGGUAACUUGCUGUAUUCCUAUAUAAUUAUCUCAAAUUAAUUGUAAUUUUAUCCUGAGUUUAUCAAUAUUAUGGUCUGAUUCUCUUAAUCGAUUGCUGUAGACAGCACAGCAGUGGCAGGUCAGCACAUGGUUAUCAAGGUGUAAACCAUAAUUAAACAAUAUUUCACAAUAUACAUCAUUGUACAGUUUUCACUUCAAAGAUAAUUGUAUGUUAAUUUCCAUCCAUUAAAAUUAAUGGUCAGUAAAGUUGUCUGUGUACCCAACUUUCCAAUUUUUUUUAAUGAAACGGCGUUGGAAAUCUGUAUCUAGUGUAAAGAAACAAGGGUUAAUUUUUAUAUGUUA